GGACUACAGGGGUAUCUAAUCCUGUUCGCUCCCCACGCUUUCGUCCAUCAGCGUCAGUUAAAUCUUAGUUACCUGCCUUCGCAAUAGGUGUUCUAUGUAAUAUCUAUGCAUUUCACCGCUACACUACAUAUUCCGGCAACUUCAAAUUCACUCAAGACUAACAGUAUCAAUGGCAGUUUCGCAGUUGAGCUGCGAGAUUUCACCACUGACUUAUUAGCCCGCCUACGGACCCUUUAAACCCAAUGAAUCCGGAUAACGCUUGCAUCCUCCGUAUUACCGCGGCGGCUGGCAC
rnacentral:rRNA from 1 species